AUGGCUCCUGUUUCCCUGAGGUGGGGUUCCACCAGUGGGCUCUGGCCGGAGGCGGGGGGGCGCGGAUUGGCCCUGCAGACCCCGUCCCCACCCCACUGUGUUCCCCUGACCCAUCCCUCUCCUCCCAUCCGGCCCCACUGUUCCCAAGGCCGGCCCAGGUUGGCCCUAUCCGAGGUAGGUGCUGGGUCCGCUCCAGUCCUUGGGCCAGCAGCUGGGGAGCAGGGCCUGCUCCAGCUCUCUCUACGGGCCUCCCCCAUCUUCACCAUCCGGGGCCCAAAACGGGGUUGUGGGGGAGGAAUGGAGGCUGAAUAUUUUGGGGAGGACAUAAACAUGUGGGAGGGGCCCAGGGCGGGUGGGCUUUAGGAGCCCACUUAACCCUCGCUGUGCUGAAAGAGCCCGUUGCCAUGGCCCCACCACCUCCGCACUUCCCCCAGAAAAUGGGGGUCCCUCCUCCACCCCGCCUCCUCUGUCUUCUUAGGCAGUCUCCCUCCCUUGCCUUGUUCUUUUCUGGAGCCUUCCUCUCCCAGCCCGCCAACCCCGCACCUCAAUCCGCGAGACUGGGAUGGGGGGCGCCUGAGGUCCGGACCCUCCCCGAGAACUCUGCCCGAGAGCAGCCUCCCGAGGACCAGAAAGCCCCAGGUGUGGAGACCCAGGCCCCGCCGGGCAAAGGUGCCAAGCCGUCGCCUCGAAGACAGGACAGGGCUCGCGGGGCCG
rnacentral:lncRNA from 1 species